rnacentral:rRNA from 1 species
GUCGAGAGGCUUCGGCAAUGGGGGAAACCCUGACCGAGCGACGCCGCGUGCGGGAUGAAGGCUUUCGGGUUGUAAACCGCUGUCAGGAGGGAAGAAUCCCCUCGUGUUAACACCACGAGGGUUGACGGUACCUCCAAAGGAAGCUCCGGCUAACUCCGUGCCAGCAGCCGCGGUAAUACGGAGGGAGCGAACGUUGUUCGGAUUCACUGGGCGUAAAGGGCGUGUAGGCGGCUUGGUAAGUCAGGGGUGAAAUCCCGCGGCUCAACCGCGGAGUUGCCUUUGAAACUGCCGAGCUUGAGGCCGUGAGAGGAGACUGGAAUUCCCAGUGUAGCGGUGAAAUGCAUAGAUAUUGGGAAGAACACCAGUGGCGAAGGCGAGUCUCUGGCACGGAUCUGACGCUGAGGCGCGAAAGCUAGGGGAGCAAACGGGAUUAGAAACCCUAGUAGUCC